ACUCAAAUGAAUAGACGGGGGCCCGCACAAGCGGUGGAGCAUGUGGUUUUCAAUUCGACGCAACGCGAAGAACCUUACCUGGGUUUGAACUACUGGUAGUAAAACUGAUGAAAGUUAGGAUGACCUGUAAAGUCAGGAACCAGCAGAGGUGCUGCAUGGCUGUCGUCAGCUCGUGUCGUGAGAUGUUGGGUUAAGUCCCGCAACGAGCGCAACCCUUAUCCUAUGUUGCCACGUCCGUAAAGGACAGCACUCUUAGGAAACUGCCUCGGAUAACGGGGAGGAAGGUGGGGAUGACGUCAAGUCCUCAUGGCCUUUAUGUCCAGGGCUACACACGUGCUACAAUGGCCGGUACAACGAGCAGCAAUCCCGCAAGGGGGAGCAAAUCUCUAAAAGCCGGCCUCAGUUCAGAUUGUGGGCUGCAAUUCGCCCACAUGAAGGCGGAAUCGCUAGUAAUCGGAGAUCAGCUGGCUCCGGUGAAUACGUUCCCGGGCCUUGUACACACCGCCCGU
rnacentral:rRNA from 1 species